AUUUUCUUAUUUAUUUAUUUUUACUAUCAUUUGUACUUUUCUUUUUCUUUUUAUUUUUUAUGUUAUUUGUGAGACUUCUUUAUUUUUAUUUUUUAACUUUGCUAUUAUUUUUAUUAUUUUAAUGGUUGUUUUUGUUUGAGUUUGUAAUCUCUUUAUCUUCCUAUUUAUUCUUGUUUAUCUUCUUAUUAGAUUGCUUGAAAAGAUGCACUUCAUUUAGAUUUGCCCACUAUUCUAGUUUUAACUAUUCUGGCGAUUUCAUCCAAAUUCAGGGCAACUUCAAUUCUCUCUCUCUCUUUUGAUAUUGUGGUUAUUCUGUAUAUAUCUGUUUGUACAUUGAGGACAAUGUAC
rnacentral:lncRNA from 1 species